AGCGAACGCUGGCGGCAGGCCUAACACAUGCAAGUCGAACGCCCCGCAAGGGGAGUGGCAGACGGGUGAGUAACGCGUGGGAACAUACCCUUCGGUUCGGAAUAACUCAGGGGAAACUUGGGCUAAUACCGGAUACGUCCGUGAGGAGAAAGAUUUAUCGCCGAAGGAUUGGCCCGCGUAAGAUUAGCUAGUUGGUGAGGUAACGGCUCACCAAGGCUAUGAUCUUUAGCUGGUCUGAGAGGACGAUCAGCCACACUGGGACUGAGACACGGCCCAGACUCCUACGGGAGGCAGCAGUGGGGAAUAUUGGACAAUGGGCGCAAGCCUGAUCCAGCCAUGCCGCGUGAGUGAUGAAGGCCUUAGGGUUGUAAAGCUCUUUCGGCGGGGACGAUAAUGACGGUACCCGCAGAAGAAGCCCCGCUAAACUUCGUGCCAGCAGCCGCAGUAAC
rnacentral:rRNA from 1 species